GACGAACGCUGGCGGCGUGCUCAACACAUGCAAGUCGAACGGGCCUGUCUUCUUUUUUGGGGGUGGGUUGAGUGGCGAACGGGUGAGUAUCACGUGAGUAACCUGCCCUUCGGUCCUGGAUAACCGCUUGAAAGGGCGGCUAAUACGGGGUGGUCCGGUUGGUCCGCAUGGGCUGGUCGGGAUAGAUUCACUGUUUUUGGUGUUUCGGCGGGGGAUGGGCUCGCGGCCUAUCAGCUUGUUGGUGGGGUGAUGGCCUACCAAGGCGGUGACGGGUAGCCGGCCUGAGAGGGUGGGCGGCCACACUGGGACUGAGAUACGGCCCAGACUCCUGCGGGAGGCAGCAGUGGGGGGUAUUGCACAAUGGGCGGAAGCCUGAUGCAGCGACGUCGCGUGAGGGAUGGAGGCCUUCGGGUUGUGAACCUCUGUUUCCGGUGGUGAAGGCCCUGUCCGUGUGGUGGGGUUGACGGUAGCCGGGGAUGAAGCGCCGGCUAACUACGUG
rnacentral:rRNA from 1 species